UGUUCAUCAUUUCAAUUAUUUUAUUUAUUUUUUGUUUCAUGGGCUUAUCUGAUUUUUUAUUUGAUUCUUCAAACAUCCGUGAGUGGUGCAUGGUCAACAUCAACUGAUGCAUCAGUGUUAAUUUCCAUAACAUUUUCAUUACUUUUAGCUUCUUUUGUUGAAAUUAAUGUUCAUCAUUUCAAUUAUUUGAUUUAUUGUUUGUUUCAUGGGCUUAUCUGAUUUUUUAUUUGAUUCUUCAACAUCCGUGAGUGCAUGUGCAUGGUCAACAUCAACUGAUGCAUCAGUGUUAAUUUCCAUAACACUUUCAUUACUUUUAGCUUCUUUUGUUGAAAUUAUUUCAUUGUCUAAUGUUACAUACACCGAAUCUCUAAACC